GAUGAACGCUGACCGGAUGCUUAACACAUGCAAGUCAACUUGAACUUCGGUUUGGGUGGCGGACGGGUGAGUAACGCGUAAAGAACUUGCCUCACAGUUAGGGACAACAUUUGGAAACGAAUGCUAAUACCUGAUAUUAUGAUUUUAGGGCAUCCUAGAAUUAUGAAAGCUAUAUGCGCUGUGAGAGAGCUUUGCGUCCCAUUAGCUAGUUGGAGAGGUAACGGCUCACCAAGGCGAUGAUGGGUAGCCGGCCUGAGAGGGUGAACGGCCACAAGGGGACUGAGACACGGCCCUUACUCCUACGGGAGGCAGCAGUGGGGAAUAUUGGACAAUGGACCAAGAGUCUGAUCCAGCAAUUCUGUGUGCACGAUGAAGUUUUUCGGAAUGUAAAGUGCUUUCAGUUGGGAAGAAAAAAAUGACGAUACCAACAGAAGAAGUGACGGCUAAAUACGUG
rnacentral:rRNA from 1 species